GUGCUUGCUUUGGCAGCACAUAUACUAAAAUUGGAAAGAUACAGAGAAGAUUAGCAUGGCCCCUGCACAAGGAUGACACACAAAUUCAUGAAGCAUUCCAUAUUUUU
ensembl:snRNA U6 U6 spliceosomal RNA